rnacentral:lncRNA from 1 species
CGCGAUUGCAAGGGCGGAUCUUCGGUUUGCUCAGAAGCCGCAGUGGUGGAGAAUGAGCGGAACCCUGGGAAAGGUGCUUGGCCUAUGGACCAAUACUGUUUCUAAGCAAGGCUUUUCCCUCCAAAGAUUCAGAAUUUUGGGAGAGAAUCCCAUUUAUUCUGCAGGAGAAGGACUGCUCUGUGGCUGUAGAGGGCGGAGUAAAGAGAGGGCAUAGAAAGACGAGGAGCAGCAGCAUCUCUCACCUUCCAGUCACCUAAGGCUUCGUUGGCGCUCCUCCCACCCCUCCACACACAACCAAGAUGAUCUUUUAAAACCAUGGCAGAGGGGGUGGAGCAAUGGAUCAGAAGUUAAGAGCAUUUGCUGCUCUUGCAGAGGACCUGGGUUCAGUUUCCGGCACCUAUAUAUUGGCUCACAGUUCCAGGGGACUCUGAUGCCCUCUUCUGGCCUCUGCAGUUAUUACAUGCAUUUGAUCCACAUAAACUAAAUAAAAUCAUACACUCAUACACAUAAAAUAAAUAAAAUCCUUUUAAAAACACAGCAUACAUAUACUUUUUUUUGCUUAUUUCUGUUCAUGAUGAGAUCCAACCUCUUAACAAGGACUAGUUUUGUUGGUUUUAGGCCCCCCGACUCACUGUAAAGUCUUUGGUGGGGCCCUCUCACAAUUACAGCCACUCUCCCAGUCUUGCAUGGGCCCCACGUCAGGUCCUGUAUACUGUUCCUACAACUACAGCACUAAUCCUCCACUUUAUUCCUCUAAUAAACAGUUUAUUAGAGGC